CAGGAGUAGGACAGUACAUUCUGAGAUGGACGCCGUCUGAAAACGAAGAUGGAGAAAGCCACCCCUUCUGCUUUGUCAUCCAGGCAAAUAUCAGUACAACCAAGUAUCACUUGGAGCUACGGUGUGUGGUUGUGAGUGUUGGAAACUCCCCAACAAUAACUACAACCAUUGAUCCAACAACAACACCAGUAGCCACAACCGUCAUCACCACAACAACCACCACACAGCCUACAACUACACAAACCACCGUUCCUUCAACAACUACCCCAUUAACUGCAACCAGC